rnacentral:lncRNA from 1 species
GGUGUACAUGCCCAUGUGAAGAAUGGCAUUUCUGCAAAGUUACUCAGGGCAUUGCUUUGAAUAACAAAAGAUUGGAAACUACAAAUGACUAUCAGUAGAGAAUUGCCUAAAUAAAUAUGGUUUAUUAUCCCAGCACUUUGGGAGGCUGAAGUGGGCUGAUCACUUGAGUCCGGGUGUUUGAGACCAGCCAUGGGCAAUAUGGUGCAACCCUGUCUCUACAACACAUACAAAAAAUUAGCUGAGCGUGGUAGGAUGCACCUACAGUCCCACUUACUCAGGAGCCUGAGGUGGGAGGA